rnacentral:tRNA from 1 species
GGCGGCGUAUUUUCUGGGGUGGCGGGCUGGAGGGCGCAUGUUAUGGGGUGUCGCUAUUGCACUCGUAAUGCGUAGGUCGGUGGUUCGAGUCCACUCGUCGGCACCA